rnacentral:lncRNA from 13 species
CUCUUCUCUGGCAAAGCAGGAGAAUGAGCCCCAAGGCUAUCUUGCUGGGCACAAAGGAAAGGAUUGCUGAGAGACCAACACGGGUUUUGACAACAGAGUCCCAGCUGUGCCUGAACUGGCACCUUCUGGACUUUUCCAUGACAAGAAGCCGUGGAUUCCUUUUCUGCUCAAACCAGUGAGAGCUGGGUCUCCUCCCUGAUUCACACAUUCACACACUGGACUCACACCAUGAAGGGACAGAUGCCACAAAUGCACAGUUGUCAGGGUUGCACACACAUGGCUAAACAUCUGCAGAGAAAAUGUGAGUAACAGGGCUGGGGAGGAAACCCAGCUGGCCGCACUGGGCCGGGGUGGCGGAGGUGGGAGAGUAGGGGCCCAGGGUGCCAACCCAAGCUCUCUCCUUGUCACCUCACCCACCAUUCACCCAUCAUUCCCAUAUCCAGAACCCUCAGCCAGCCGUCGAGGAUGAUGGGUGAAUGGCGGCUGAGGCAGGCAGGCUGAAGCUCAUUGGCUAGGGACGGAGGUGAAUGCUCCUAUUUGCCCGUGUGCACACAUUCACAUGCAUGCUGAGCUUUGCAUGCAAGAAACACACUGUGGCCCACUCGGGAGCUCUUUCAUUUUCUUCCUACUGCAGAGGUCUGAAGCUGGGAUAGGGGUCUCUGGUCAUUCAGGCUCUCCCCCAGCCUGGGACUGUGCGGUUCCUGGGAGCUCAAGGACCACCUGGGUGGGGGCAACCCAAGAAGAGACUGCCUCUUCUGCUCCAUUGUGGGAUAGGAGGGUUACCAGGGCCAAGUGCUGGUCUCAUGGGGCUGGAAUCGGGGAGAGGCUUUGUUCUGGAGCUCAGACUGCCUUUAUGACACCAGGUAGUCCAUGGUCCUGGAUGCAGAUGGCUUCAGGCAUAUUGCACACACCACACGCACAUGUAGACACACAUACGCACGUGAACACGCAGACACGGCUAUCUUGUGUGAGCUCUGGGGAUGGAAAAGGAGGCCUUUCUGUGGACAGAGGACAAGGGUGGCAGAGGAAGCCUCAGACCUCCUGGGAAGGCCCCACCCCACAGCCUGGCUCCUAUCAGGCUACUUGGGCUCUGGCCUGGGGAAGGCCCUCAGCCAGCAGCAGGAACAGCUGGAUCGGGUGUCUAGAGAUGACCCUGGCUCCCUGCUCCUGGCUAGAAGCCCUUCCCCCAGAGAGGGGCCAGGGAAAAGCUGAGGGCAAAGGAGAACACCCCUCACCUCAUUGGUCCCUCAGGAGCCAAAGUAAUCCCAAAACUAAAAGGAAAGAGUCUCAGACCCUUCCCCCAGCUGCCGACGGAGAGUCUCAUUUUGGCAAGUAUCCGAGCAAAACCAAAACAAAACAAAAACCAAAUAAAAUGGUGGUUUAGCAGAGACGCGCACAUUCACAUUGCACAAGGCACUGCUGGGGCACAGAGGCCAGAUACAAGUGUUGAUAUCGGCUGAUAAAGCAAAAUAUUUGGAAAGCUUGUCAUAACUCCGGUCCCUCUGGGAUGGACUGAUCGUGCUUUGUGUUCCUAUGGCAAUGCUGAAGGCAUACAGUACAAACAAGGCUGAGGGUCCCAGUGGCCCUUCACCCCCUACAACCGUCUCACGCAGGGGCCAGAUCUCUAGGUCCCCUCUCUCCCAUCAGGGGUAUACAUCCUCAGAGCUGACCCACGAUCUAGCUGUCUGGUCUGACUGGGGGUGGUGGCUCCCACUGGUCACCUGGUGACCCCCAUAUCUCAGUGAGUUCCGCCCCAGGGGGAAGCCCAGCCUGUGGCAGGCUGGGGUGGGGUGUGUGCGGAGGGAUGGGAGAGGUGCGGAACAAGAGACCCUCCACCUUCAUGUAGAAUCAGCGGAACAACCUUAGGUUCAAAGCCCCAAGUCCCGAUGUUUCCACCCCUCUAUAAGAAAGGCGCCGAGGAGCGGCUGGGGCUGGCUGGCUUGUAGGGAUCUCAGCUCCCUGAGCCCUCCUCCUCCCGCCACGGGCCGCUCCCUUCCUUCUCUCAUAGGGGCCUGCUGUAGCCUUGGGAAGGAGGCAGGAAACCUCCAAAUAAAAUGACAAGGCACGAUUUGCUCCCCCUACUC